GUUUUUCUGCCACCAAAAAGGAUCUAAUCCUCAUUCUGAUCUCAUCCCCGCAGGCCAGAAGUGACUCCUCCACUAACUUCUGCCCAUUCUGGUAUGACAGCUCCAAUUCUGCAAGACCUAUGACGACAGAAACUCUUAAGCCUCUUGUUUAAAGGUCACUAAUACUCAAUGUACUAUUAACUUUAUGUCCUGUCACAAAGACACUCAGUGAAUGUUGCCACACGCAACUGUUUUUUACUGGAGUCCUUUAUUGCAGGUCUGUAAUCCUAAACUGAUAAAUCAUUUCCUCUUGUGGAUUUUUUUUUUCUCAUCUGCCCUACAGUGAGUUUGUAAUAAUUUAUAUUGUUUUCCAGCUUUUCCCUAGAGACAUUCCAUAUACAGAAGAUAGCACAGCAUUGCUACCAAACCCUGUUUCCCUCCUCUUGCAAGGACUGUUUGAGAGAAUAAUGGAAAAAAUCAAGACUAGAGAAGACUAGGCUACUGAAAAAUGGUAUUUUUGUUCAAUUAAACUUUGUUUCCCCCAUUGGGGGUGUAUUUGGAAGUUACACAAACACUAAAAAUAUGUUCUGCAGGAAAGCUUCAAACUGCCCCCUUUGCCCAAAGCAUAUGGGAACUCCUGUUCCCAUUCUCCAACAAACAAAAGCUCACAGAGCCCUAAGUUCUCCUAAUAUUUCCAAGCAAAGAAGAUUCCCUACACAGAGAUGUCCCCUCCCCUCUGGUUCAAGGGGGCUGUUUGCAGCAGAAAAUCAGAGCAAAGCAGCUGUAAUUCUUUGAAAGGAAAACAGGACAGAGAACAAUCUAUAAAAGGCUCUUUGUGGUAAUUUAUCACACAUGUUUAUUUCUUUGCAUGAAAUAGCUUCAGAGCAGAACCAGCGCCAGAUUCCUGUGUUGCUGUCAGACCCACCAGCACAGAUCUGUUUCCAUUUCCAAUCUUCACUUAUAUUGGCCAAGACCAAGUCACGAGGCAGAAAUCUCCCCUCUGCAUUUUAACAACAAGCACAGCCUGACCUUAUUCCCAGAACUGGGAAGCGUUUGCUGGCUGCCCCCUCCUCCCAAGCCACAGGCCAGGCACCCAGGAACAGCAGCUUGUUUUGGCUCCACAGCUUGCCAUGUGCUUUCAUGAUACCCUGGGGACUUGUUGCUGAAAAAAGCUUUCAACUCAAGAGGCAAAGCUUUGUGGAGCACUAUCCCAGGCUCUAAUCCUCAGAGAUCCCCUUUAUCCCUGCCUGAGGGUCCCUGCCACCACAUCACACCGUGUCCUGGGAGGUGUCAGCACCUGAAGUCCCACAAGCUGGGUUUCAGGGACACCUUGCCACAAAGCAGCAAGCAAAACCUGCCUGGAGUGGUCAAGGACCAUUGCACAAGUGGGUCUGAUCCAUUUCCUGGAGCACCUCAGGUCACCUGCAGCUGGCAGGAGCAGGGAGUCACCUUGCUGUCACUUGUUCGCAGCCAGACCGAGCUCCCCUGGCACCUGGACGAGCAGGGCUCAUCGCCUCGGUAAUGAACGUCCUUAAAAAAGUCUUUUGAGUGUCCCCUUUCAGCGUUCAGCCCGUCCCCUCCCAGGCACAAGGCAGAGCACAUCACCCACAGUGUCCCCAUGUCCCUCCCUCGCCCAUCUCCAGGGGCCACAGCUGGAAGGAAUCCACAAGGUAUCACCCUGUGACAGCACAAGAUGGCUCUUGACACGCCAAGUGCAGCUUGCAGGCAGAAGGAUAAAGCUGUAAGCUGCCAACAACCAAAAUACAGCUGGUUCUAACAGGCAGCAGGCUGUACUGCGGGUGAAGAAGUGUUUCCCUCCCACUUAACCUAUUUUUGAUCACCUUCACACGCCCCAGGUACCAAAAUGCUUUGUGCAGCUGCACAAGCAGCUACACCUGCCUGUGGACUGGAGAAGUCAGGCUGAAGCCAUCCCAGCUCUUUGCAGAACUCGCUGAGGGGAUGGGCUGCACCUGAGGCAUCUUUGUGACCUCACAACAUCACUGCUUCCUUCAGACCUCCUCCAGGCUUGGAUCUCCUCUUGGAAGAUCUGACCUUUUUUCUGCUGCUGCUCUUUGUUGGCACUGCAGAACUGGAUCACUAAUGAGGGCACUAAUAAGUGGCUUUGCUUACUUCUGCUGCUAAAAGCCACAGCACAGCACACCCAAUCUAUUCCUGCCCUAUCCUGCCCUCACUCCUAUCAUCAGCAGUGGUUCUAAAAUAGUCUGUGACCCCUUAAUAACCACCCAGAGAGACAAUAAUCAAUGCUGGCAGCAGCAGGAUGGGAAUCCUCUCCUCUCCCACAGCACUACAGGUGUGCUCCUCUCUUCCUUGCUUUUAUUUGAAGCAGGAUGACAUCUGCCCCACAGUUCCUUGGGGUCACAGCCAAGGCUUCCAGUGAAGAACACCACCUAUAGGAGAGGGCAACAUCUGCACAGAUUUCUGAAAGGUCUCAGGCCUUCAGCCAGUGUCUAAGCCCUGUUAAAUGAGAGAUAACUUUAACAGGAAGUUUCACUUCAACAGCAAGUUCAAGGUAGUGCUGUCCAAAUCUGAAAGUUUUCAACUACAGUUCAAGAAGAAAAAUUUAAAAAAAAAAUAAAAAAUCGGUGCUUCCCUUUCUGGGCGACUUUCCA